CCCCCCAGGUCCAGAGUUGUCUGUCUGUCAGACUGGCCACCCCCAGGUCCAGAGUUGUCUGUCUGUCAGGACUGCCCCCCCCAGGUCCAGAGUUGUCUGUCUGUCAGGACUGCUUCUCAGUGCGUCCCUCCCUCUACAUAUCACGUGAUAACCAUAUAUUAACUGUAUAUCUGAACCUUUUGAAGUCCUGCGGUCUGAGUGAGUACGGUGGGGAGGACAGUAGCGGUUAUCUGAGGGGGGUGGUGUGACGGAGAAGGGAACAGCCAUGUUAAAUUCCCUCUUAUUGGUGGAAACCCCUGUCCAAUGGGAGGCCUGGUGGUUGGUGGGUGAUUUCCUAUCGAUCUCCCUCUGGAUGGGUGUCUGUGUAAAGAAAGGAGGUUCAGAACAACUGUAUUUUUGUAUAUGAGUGAAGUUGUAAAUAUGUUGAAGUAGCACAGAUGUAAUGAGUUGUACCAUGUUUAUUAGACUGAAACACUUUGUACAGAAUAAAACUACCCAGCUAUGAUAUGGUCUCA